AAGCAACAGGAAGGCAAGUUCAAACUGCCUCAUACAAAGAUCAUUAUAAUUUGUCCCUCUCAGUGGAGGGUCUUGAUGGAUCGACUCAGGGUAAGGGUGUAAAUGAGGAGUGAAGAGGCUGAUGUUUAGCUUGUGCUCCUCAGAAUGGAAACAGAUCUUGGCAGACAUCUGCUUCAUCCUCAAAGGCAGCCCACACAGUUCUUCAGUGUUUUUCUCUGGAAAUUAAUAGUGAUGUAGAAUAUGGAAGUAGUUAUUUUAUGUUAAUCAUAUGGGUUUGGGGAGGUUUUGAACAAAAAUAAUAAAAAUAAUCACCACAACCGCAGCCAUGUACUACACGCCAGGCUGUGGGCUAAACAUGCACAUCCAUCGUGUCACCCAAGCAGCCCAGCAAACCCUGGGAGCAGUCAGGAGAUGACAUAUUGGCCUCCAGUGUGAGCUUGAAAAAAGAAAAUUAAGAAAGUUGUGAAGAAUUCAUAAACUAGAAGUUCUGUGGGUGCGGAUAGUAUCCUUUAUCCACCAGCUUACAAUGUAUUUAUGCCCAUUUGAAGUUAAGAAAACUGAGGCUUAGCUGGGCAUGGUGGCUCACAUCUGUAAUCCCAGCACUUUGGGAGGAUGAGGUGGGAGGAUCACUUGAGCCCAGGAGGUCAAGACCAGCUUUGGCCACUAAAUGAGACCCCGUCUCUACCAAACAUACAAACAAACAGUCUGAUGUGGUGUCACACACCUGUAGUCCCAGCUACUCAGCAGGCUGAGGAGGCAGGAUUGCCUCGGCCCAGGAGAUUGAGGCUGCAGUGAGCCAUGUUUGCGCCACUGCACUCCAGCCUGAGUGACAGGGCAAAAAGAAAAAAAAGAAAAGAAAAGAAAGAAAGAAAGAAAAGAGAAAACUGAGGCUUAAAGAUCUUAAAGCUGCAGAGUUAAAGUUAGUUAAGAGCAAAGCAGAAUUUGAGCCUAGUUAUGUCUGUUUGCAUGCCACAAUCUUAUUAUGCCUCAUUAUUCAGAGCAUGGAUCCCGCCUUGCAGCACAGCCUUCACCUGAGGCUUGGCCUCACCCAGACCUACUGAAUUAGAUUCUCCAUUGUAACUCGACCCCAGGUGGUCCUGAGGAAAGUUUGAGAGACUUGACUCUACACCCAUGCAGCGAAGGACAAUUGCCAUGGGAAAUGUGUAUCACUGGCCAUCACUGAAGUGAUAUAGACAAAGUGCCAAAUGAGUGGGUAGACAGAGAAGACCUAGGAUUUUAGAGAAGGAGGCUGGUGUCAAGAACUGGGA
rnacentral:lncRNA from 10 species